CUGUGGUCAGGUAGAGAAUACCAAGGCGAUCGGGUGAACUGUGGUUAAGGAACUCGGCAAAUUGCCCCCGUAACUUCGGGAGAAGGGGGACCUCUGCUGGUGAUGGCAUGUGCUGUCUGAGCUGGUGGGGGUCGCAGUGGCCAGGGGGAAGCGACUGUUUACUAAAAACACAGGUCCGUGCGAAGUCGUAAGACGAUGUAUACGGACUGACGCCUGCCCGGUGCCGGAACGUUAAGGGGACCGCUUAGCCGACUCUUUGGGUUGGCGAAGGUGAGAACUUAAGCGCCGGUAAACGGCGGUGGUAACUAUAACCAUCCUAAGGUAGCGAAAUUCCUUGUCGGGUAAGUUCCGACCUGCACGAAUGGCGUAACGACUUCCCCGCUGUCUCAACCACAGACCCGGCGAAAUUGCACUACGAGUAAAGAUGCUCGUUUCGCGCAGCAGGACGGAAAGACCCCGGGACCUUCACUACAGCUUGACAUUGGCGUUUGGAGCGUCUUGUGUAGGAUAGGUGGGAGACUGGGAAGCUGUCACGCUAGUGAUGGUGGAGUCAUUGGUGAAAUACCACUCUGGUCGUUUUGAACGUCUAACUCUGGUCCGUGAUCCGGAUCGGGGACAGUGUCUGGUGGGUAGUUUAACUGGGGCGGUUGCCUCCUAAAGAGUAACGGAGGCGCCCAAAGGUUCCCUCAGCCUGGUUGGCAAUCAGGUGUUGAGUGUAAGUGCACAAGGGAGCUUGACUGUGAGACUGACAGGUCGAGCAGGAGCGAAAGCUGGGACUAGUGAUCCGGCAUCGGCGUGUGGAAGCGGUGUCGCUCAACGGCUAAAAGGUACCCCGGGGAUAACAGGCUGAUCUUCCCCAAGAGUCCAUAUCGACGGGAUGGUUUGGCACCUCGAUGUCGGCUCGUCGCAUCCUGGGGCUGGAGUAGGUCCCAAGGGUUGGGCUGUUCGCCCAUUAAAGCGGUACGCGAGCUGGGUUUAGAACGUCGCGAGACAGUUCGGUCCCUAUCCGCUGCGCGCGCAGGAGACUUGAAGGGGGCUGUCCCUAGUACGAGAGGACCGGGACGGACGAACCUCUGGUGUGCCAGUUGUACCGCCAGGUGCACGGCUGGUUGGCUACGUUCGGAAGGGAUAACCGCUGAAAGCAUCUAAGCGGGAAGCUCGCCUUGAGAUGAGGUCUCCCACCCUGUGAGGGGGUAAGGCUCCCGGUAGAUGACCGGGUUGAUAGGCCGGAGGUGGAAGCACGGUAACGUGUGGAGCUGACCGGUACUAAUAGGCCGAGGACUUGACCAA
rnacentral:rRNA from 1 species